UUCCAGUAGUCACAUACCACCUAUCCGCCUGCUAUAGCCGACGUCGAAUGUCAGCAAGCACUGAUAGGAAACAACCUCACCAUACAGACAAGCGAUUAUCUCACGCUGUGCGAGGUGCAGAUAUUUGUUUGUAGCGACGGCUGGUUUGGUGAGGACUGUGACAAACAGUGUCAUUGUUCGCUAAACACAGAAGUAUGUGAAAAGAUCACUGGACAGUGUCUGGGUGGAUGUGCUCCAGGAUACAUGGGAAUGGACUGCCAAACAGCAUGUCCUAAUGGUUACUAUGGUCCUAACUGUGACGACCAGUGUGGCAACUACGUGGAUGGUGAUGUUUGCAUCAAGACAA